rnacentral:lncRNA from 1 species
UAUAUAUAAGAUUAACUUAUCUUACAAGCGAGCAUAUAUAUACAAUUAUAUGCAGAUCUGAAUUAUCGGGACUAGAGCCCGUCUAUUUGAUUACAUGGACGAACAUCAGUAAUGGCCCCUAGCUACACUAAAUCGUCCUUUGUCAUCUAUAGCUUCUGUCCUCAGAAAGGUCGCAAGCUCCUCUGCAACAGCAAUCGCGCGUUGCUUUGGUAGGACCUUCGUCCUCAUGGCCGUGUACUAUAUAAGAAGAGGAGAUGAAUAUGAAUAUCAAUCAUGAUAACAAAGAAUGACGGGUAAAAAUAGAGGUGUGAAUGUUCAUUGCUUACGUCGAAUUUGUGAUCCUUGUGCUCAGAGGUAAACUUGCGAAUGGUCUCGCAAACAUAGUAUCCGCAUAGAUGCGUCCCCCGUGGCUGCUGGUCGCACUUUACGAGAAUAGAAUAUAUAUAAUCAAAAUAAUAAUCUAGCAUCACAAAUGUAUUGAAAAUAGAAGUAUAUCAUACUACUACUUACCUGAGCCGCUCUAAAGUUCAGCUUCUCAGGAAAGUUACCGGGAGUCACGCACUUGAACCGCUUCCAAACCCUGCCCGACAAGGAUAAUGAUUUGCUAAGUUUUUCAUUAAUUGAUAUAUCAGAAAAUCAUCGAAAGAGACCGAUAGAGCGCAAGAAUGAUUGAAAUUACCCUUGGAGCAUGUCCUGCAGGCUUUGGAACUGUUCCAAGGGUCUCGAUAAUGGGUCGAAGGCAUCAACUCUUCCCUUAUCAAUUUGAAUGUCCAACAGAAUCCAAUGGAAGCUGCACAUGUAUAUAUAUAUAUGUGUCAGUAACUUAUCAAUUACACUUAUAAGUGAAUGGACACAACAGAGUAAAGACCCUCACCUGAAGUUGUAUGGAAACAGUAUGUGGUCACAGGAAUUUUGAUCUGUUAGAAACCUUAGAAGGUUUUCCUCCGUCUCCUUGGGUUUAUCAGUUAGCGUCGCUAUAUGUAUUUUAUCUGGGUCAAUAAACCCAAUAUUUAGGAUGUUCUUACUUUUACAAUCCAGAAUCUUCAUUCUGCAUAAUAGAGUACAAGUUAUAUAUAGACAAUGAAUUGAAAUAACUAAACAAGUUAUAUGUAGACAACGAAUUGAAAAACUUACAGACAAUAGCAACUCAUAAGCGAUUUGUCGAGGGCGUCGCCAUUGUACAUCUGGAAGAGUUCAUCAAAGUCGAUAUGGAUUUGUUCGGGGCGGCCGUAGUACUCCCGUGGGACACUCACCACGAUCAUCGUUCUCCCAUUCUUUGAUUCACUUAAGUACCAUGUAUGCAAGUAACGCAUAUUUGUUGGGAGAUCGUCUUUGCUGACCAAAGGCUCUCCCAUGACAAACUGUGGCUUAGGGGCUACCACAGCCUUGGGUAACCUGUCGUCUUGGGAAGCCAGAACAUCUUCAACCGAGACACCCCAUUCAGUCGCCCACUUCUUUGCUAAUUCAAAAUCUUUCCUCUGCACCAGAGGGGGAACAUUCUCGGUUAACACCUUGAGGGGUGGGAUCGACUGUUUGGCCUGUUGUCCAAGGUGAGGAACGUCUCAUUUUUUCUUGCUUGUAGUUGAACUUGAUUUGCUCCCACUUGCACUUGCACGUGAUCUGCUCUUUUUCACUUCCUUCUGCAAUGUGCGUGUAUAGUCAUUAGGCUUAUGGUGUAAGUCAUACUGUGAUGGAAGGAUCGUGAAGUAUUUUGCAAAUGCUAUUUGCUUCUCAGUGUAUUCCGGGCGGGGCUCGGGUUCCUUCUUUUUCAUCUGCGCAUCAUGAUGUUCCUUUGCUAUCCUGGCGUUUUCCUCGGGGGUACGAUCAUAAGGUUUGAUAGGAAGAUUAGCAUGAGGUACCUUCGGGAGGGGCGACCGUUUGCGCUUUGGGGGGGCUCCGUCGCUUAGAAAUCAUCGGUGGAGCGUUCUUGGUGGCACGCUCCCGCUUAGUAUCCGGAGCGGGCGGCGGCGGAGAUGGACGACCCAAGUCCGGCGGCGGUGAUCGAGAUGGACUCGUGUUGUGCUGGCCAACGUCAUGUGGAGGGCUUGGAGGUAAUGGAGGUGUAGGUGACCUGCGACGACUCGGAGGCGGUGUUGUCCUUGGGGCCGAGCCUGGAAGCUUGAUGUAGUUCUUGUCCCAUAGGAUGACUCCACCCAGUAGUUCUCCGAGUGUCCUCUCAUCUUCGGGUCCAGCUAUGUCGAGCUCCAUAUCAUGAAACCCCGUCAUGAUUUCAUCCACCCCGACUUUAGCAAAGCCAACUGGAAUCUCACGGCCAUGCCAACGUGCAUCAGGGCCAGAAGGUAAAGCUGGUCCGACGACCACCUUCAUGGAUAUGUUCUUGAAUUUCUGAUGGAGUUCACAUGAUGUUGACUCCUUGAUUCCAUCCACGGGAUAGCCGGGACUGCCCUCUAUCAUUCUUCGUGCAUCGUUGGGCGGGGCCUCACAUUCAGCCAUGCUGCUUUUCCGCUUAGAUGGGGCGCCGGUAAUAUCAAGUGCAGGAUCUUCCUGGCGCGGUACUCCUCUAAGCUCAUCAAUCUGCUUCUGUUGCUCGUUAAUCCUGGCAAGCAACUGGUUGAACUUGUCAUUCUACUCAUCCUGCUCCCACUUCUUUGCUCUCUCUCGGCUUCUGUAAGUGUCUUGGUCUUUGGCAAACCCAAGCCACCACGGGUAAGAAGGACCGAAGCCUCGUGUUCGUCCUCCAUGUUCAUCAUUGCCGAGGACUAGUGUGAGCAAAUCUUUAUCUCUAUCUGCAGUGAAAUUUCUUGUUCCCUCCUUAAUUUCUUUCACUAUCCUUUUCCAAUUCUCCCUGGGUAUCCUAAGACCGUCACUGCAGAUGAGGUCCCCUGUUUCUUCGUCGUACGAACCACCUUGCGCAAGGAACCAAUUUCUUGCUCUCAAUUCCCACUCAUCACAGAGUGGUUCAGGUACUAGCAGAUCUAGCAGAUCUUGCUCUUUCUUAUCCCACUUUGGAAUGACAGUCUCAUAGCCCCCUGGACCCAGCUUGUGGUGAUAUUUCUUCUUGUCGGCAUUUAUCUUGUUCUUUUCUGAUAAUGCCUGGGCAUCUUCUGACUCCUUGUACUCUUGAAAUGCCUUCCAGUGAUUCACCUGCUUGGCUAGAUACCCCUCGAAUACUGGCACUUUCUUUGUCUUCAUAUAGUUUUUCCAUAGCUUCUUCUUCCAGCUACGGAACAGUUCGACCAUCUUCUUUAGAGUCCACUGCUUGACUUUGGCCCUUAGUUUGUCUGCGGCGUCUUCAUUCUCACAUUCUCGCAGGUUGAAAUGUGACAUGAGAUCAUUCCAAAGAUUAUCUUUGUACCUCUCGGCGACAUAGUCACUAUCGGCUGCCCCUUUGCGCUUGUUCCACUCCCGAAUGUUGAUCGGGACGUGAUCCCUAACGAGAACUCCGCAUUGCUUCUUGAAUGUGUCAGCAGCAUUCUUAGGAAUCUUGGGUUCGCCCGUAGGCAAUAUCACCUCAAAGGUGUAAUGCGUCCGUGCAUCCAACUUUCUAGUCGGGCCUCGUUUCGUAGCUUUGCUCGAUGUGGAGGCCUAAGAGGGAGAAACAUUCGUCAAAUGAAUGUAUAUGUAUACAAUAUAGAGCUAUCUCCAAUAUUUUCACAUAUUACUAGUGAUUGUCGAACUUCAUAUGUAUACCUCGCCGGACUUUAUUAUUUCUUCACCGGCUUCUCCACCGGCUUCUCCAUCAGUGGAGCUAUCACCUUCUCCGUCAUUGGACCUAUCUCCUGCCCCAUCAGCUUCAUCUUCGUGUCGCUCGACCUCCAUUCCAUAUCCGGAGGGGUUUAGAUAUGACGACGGAGAUUCAGCUGGUUCAACGUCGGGGCCAUCUUUGAUUAUAUCUUCGAGAAGUUCUUCCUCUUCGAGGUUCCUGAUAUGUGGAUCCAUAGUUCUGCAAAAAACGGACAUUUGAUUAACUAAUAAACUAACAAACUAUAUAAGAGGGGUUGGAAACUUCGAAGUGUCGUUUUAUAUAGGAGGACCUUUAGUCCCGGGUCUUGGCUAGAACCUAAACUCUAAAAUACGAGCCGGGCGGAGCCCAGUCCCGGACACUUAAGCAUAUACAAUAGCAAAAUUAAACUAGUUCUAUUAAUUUUCUUGCUAAAAAUAAACUAUUAAGACUUAGGCAUAUACAAUAGCAAAAUUAAACUAUUAACACUUAAGCAUAUACAAUAACAAAAUUAAGCAAUAAUCUAAGAAACACUAUUAACACUUAAGCAUAUACACUAUACAAUAGCAAAAUUAAAUGACAAAAAAUAUAUUUCUUCUUCUUGUAACCCUAAACUAAUUUUUCCUCUUCUUCUAUUUCUCCUCUUCUUCUACUNNNNNNNNNNNNNNNNNNNNNNNNNNNNNNNNNNNNNNNNNNNNNNNNNNNNNNNNNNNNNNNNNNNNNNNNNNNNNNNNNNNNNNNNNNNNNNNNNNNNCAUCACGUGAUUCUCCCAAUGACGUGAUCCAGUUAUCAAGCAACAACACCUUGUUCAUAAUCAGAAGACAUUGACUAUCAUCGAUCAACUGGCUAGCCAACUAGAGGCAUGCUAGGGAUGGUGUUUUGUCUAUGUAUCCACACAUGUAAAUGAGUCUUCAUUCAAUACAAUUAUAGCAUGGAUAAUAAACUAUUAUCUUGAUACAGGAAUUAUAAUAAUAACUAUACAUUUAUUAUUGCCUCUAGGGCAUAAUUCCAACACGUAGAUCACUCAUCCCCUCUCGUAGAUGGACAUCACCAUGAUAGGUCUUCGUGCGCGUAGGAGAAUUUUUGUGCCCCAUGCGACGUUCUCCAACAGCUCAACCCCGCCAAAUGUUCAUUCGGCGUUCCCAGCGGGAAGUUACUCGGUAUCUUCGUUUCCGAACGAGGGAUCAAUGUCAACCCCGAAAAGAUCGGGACCAUCGUCCGAAUGGAGAGGCCGGUCAGAAUACACGAUGUUCAACGACUGACAGGUUGCCUAGCGGCUUUGAGCAGGUUCAUCAGUCCACUCGGCGAGAAAGCACUUCCUCUGUACCGACUCAUGAAGAAAUCAGAUACUUCCGAGUGGACAGACGAAGCCCAAGUCGCAUUCGACGACCUCAAAGUCCUACUUUCCACCCAACCGGUUCUUACUGCUCCGCUCAGUAAAGAGCCCCUUCUUCUGUAUAUCGCGGCUACAAAUCAAGUCGUCAGUACUGUUCUUACAGUCGAACGAGAAGAAGAAGGCAAAGCUUACAAAGUUCAGCGGCCAGUGUACUACGUCUCCGAGGUCCUGACUCCUUCCAAGCAGAGGUAUCCCCACUAUCAAAAACUUAUCUACGGGAUUUACAUGACUGCGAAGAAGGUUGCCCAUUAUUUCCAAGACCACUCGGUGUCUGUCGUUUCUGAUGCUCCGUUGUCGGAAAUUCUCCACAAUCGAGAUGCGUUAGGCCGAGUGGCGAAGUGGGCAAUGGAGAUGACGUACUACGAUGUCAAGUUCGAGGCCAAGAAAGCUAUUAAGUCUCAAGCUCUGGCUGACUUCAUAGCAGAAUGGGUAGAACAACAGCAACCGACCCACAUCUACUCGGCCCAUUGGACAAUGUUCUUCGAUGGGUCCAAGAUGUUGAAUGGCUCCGGCGCUGGCAUUGUGAUCAUAUCGCCAAAGGGCGUCAAACUCAAGUACGUGCUACAGAUACACAUCGAUUCCUCGAACAACGAGGCAGAGUAUGAAGCUCUCCUCUACGGAUUGCAUAUGGCCAUCUCACUCGGCGUCCGUCGCCUGAUGGUCUACGACGAUUCGGAUUUGGUGGUCAAUCAAGUGAUGAAAGAGUGGGACGUCAGGAACCCCACCAUGACCACAUAUUGCAAUGCAGUGAGGAAGCUUGAGAAGAAGUUUGAAGGUCUAGAACUUCAUCAUGUUCCGAGACUGAAGGACCAAGCAGCUGAUGAGUUGGCAAAACUCGGAUCCACUCGGAGACCAGUCCCGAGUGACGUCUCCCUCGAGCACCUUCACCUUCCCUCAGUCAAAGAAGAUCCUUUUACAGAGGAACCAGUACAACCAAAGUGUUCAACAGAUCUGACUGAAGUCGAUGUACCUGCUGUGGUUGAUCUGGUCAUGGAGAUUCUUGCUGUCAUCCCCGAUUGGACUGUGCCGAUCAUUGCAUAUAUCCUGAGACAGGAACUACCAGAAGACAAAGUCCUGGCCAGGAAGAUAGUCCGCAGGUCGAAGUCAUUCACUCUCAUUGAUGGCCAAUUGUACAAGGAGAGCGUUUCAGGAGUUCUUCAACGAUGCAUCUCCCCAGAGGAGGGGCAGCUGAUCCUGAAGGAUAUUCAUUCGGGAACCUGCGGUCAUCACGGUUCUUCGAGAGCAAUCGUCGCCAAGGCGUUCAGGGCUGGUUUCUUCUGGUUACAGGCAAACGAGAUGGCUAAAGAUAUGGUUGACCAAUGUGAGGGCUGCCAGUUCUACUCCAACAAAUCCCACAAGACGACAUCCGCGUUGAAGACAAUCCCUCUGGUGUGGCCGUUUGCAGUAUGGGGAUUAGAUACAGUCGUCCACUUAGGACAGGCCAAGGGGGAUACACACAUCUGUUGGUGGCAGUCGACAAGUUCAUGAAAUGGAUCGAAGCCAAGCCCAUCAAGAAGGUCGACGCCUCAACAGCCGUCAAAUUUGUCAGGGACAUCAUCUCCAGAUUCGGUGUACCUCACAGCAUAAUCACGGACAACGGGACAAACUUUGACUCGGACAGAUUCAAAGGUUUCUGUACAAGCCAAGGUAUCCGAGUGGAUUUUGCUUCCGUGGCGCAUCCUCAGUCCAAUGGACAAGCAGAGCGGGCGAACGGACUUAUUCUGCAAGGUUUGAAGCCACGACUCCUGCGAGAGGUGGGACGUGCCGCUGGCGCAUGGGUCACCGAGCUGUCUUUAGUGCUUUGGGGUCACCACACAACCCCGAACAGAUCUACAGGGCGAUCACCGUUCUUCCUCGUUUAUGGAGCAGAAGCGGUCCUUCCGAGUGACUUGCUUCACAAUGCACCACGAGUCGAACUCUUCUCCGAAGCUGAAGCAGAACAAGCAAGGCAAGAUGGAGUGGAUCUUCUAGAGGAGGAGCGUGAGAUGGCACUGACUUGCUCAACCAUAUAUCACCAAGAUCUUCGGCGCUUUCAUGCACGCCACGUCAGGAGUCCCACGUUCCAAGCAGGCGACCUGGUACUCCGAGUGGAUCAGCAAAGACCCCACAAGUUGGCUCCUGCCUGGGAAGGACCCUUCAUCAUCUCCAAAGUGCUGAACAACGGAGCAUACAGACUCUACAACAUCGACAGGGAGAUAGACGAGCCGCGAGCAUGGAACGGAGAUCUCCUAAAGCGCUUCUACACGUGACCGUCGACUGAAGCAAUGUAAAGAACAAGUAUUGAUGAAAUAAUAUAAAGCAGAGUGAGCUUUUGCAGGUUCAAAAUUCGUCCGCGGUCGUAGACUCCGGUCUCAAAAAAAAAACUUAGAUGCGAUCCCGAAUCGCCUAAGUUCUAAAUUUCUCCGAGUGNCUUAGAUGCGAUCCCGAAUCGCCUAAGUUCUAAAUUUCUCCGAGUGUGCACUAAACGUCGCACUCGGGGACUUAGCUGCGAUCAAGAAUAGCCUAAGUAUUAAAUUUCUCCGACUGUGCACUAAACGUCGCACUCGGGGACUUAGCUGCGAUCAAGAAUCGCCUAACUAGUAACUUUCUUCGAGUGUGCACUUCACGUUACACUCGGGAACUUAGAUGCGAUCAACAAUCGCCUAAGUAUUCUAUUGCCUUCGAGUGUACCCUACAGAUCCACUCGGAGACUCCGCAAGACCCUCACAGAGGCUCAUGCAGAUGUCAAGACAACUGACACUUACAUGCUACGCAUGUUUGCCAUUGGCUUCACCAUGAAACGCCAAACAGAAAACUCGACGCAAAAUUGCGACACAAGAGCAAACGAUUUGAUUCAGAUUCAAAAGUUCAACCAAAGAUAGUUCACUCGGUGCGGAUCAAGCUUACCCGCAGCGAUCCAAGAAUGUGACAGCCAACAGCAGUGGCCAAAGUUCCUUACAGAUCAACACUCGUCAUACCAAGGAUAAAGAAUUCUUACGCAUCAUCUAGAUUAGCACCAGGACUGGAGGGCUCUACGAACGUGUCCAGACCGAUACCGUCGGGCAUGCGGGUGGCACUCUCAAGGAAAGUUUCCAUGAAGUCUUCGAAUCAAAGUUUCUUCGUGUUGGUGACCUUCAAUGUUUUUAGCUUCUCCUCGCGCACCUCCUUGCAAUGAAUUCGGACCAGGGACAGAGCAACAUCUGCACCACAACGAGCUGGAGAUUUCUUCCAUGACUGCACUCGGUUCGGGAUCUCCUCCAGUCGAGUCAUCAAGUUUUCCAUCUCCUGCCGCGACUCAUCUUCAGGCCAAAGCUCCUUGUCGAUCCGGCCGACGACUUCUCUCAGUCGACCUAUGAAAGGGCCAACUUUGCCCACGCGGAUGUGCGCUCGGAGUAGAUCUCGAUUGGCGUCCUCGCCGAGUGGAACGUUCUCGCGAAUCGACCGCUCGACGUCAGCUGCUUCAGCUUCAGCAUCAAUGCAAAAAUCUGCAACAAAAGGACACGCAAACAAUAAGCGCCGAGUGUGACGCACAAACCACAAGCACUCGGAAAAAGCAGGACUUACCAGCCAGACGCGUCAUCAUCUGUCGAGCCCAGUCGCUGACGUAUUUCUCCUGAGCUAUGCACCAUUUGUUCAGCAUGUCCAUCUGUCCCAUCAGAGCAGUCCUCUGUUUCCCCAUCUUCUCAACUUCCUCAGUUAGCACUUUGUUCGCUUCACGAGCCUGCUCCAAUGACUUCUCUCGUGCCGCCAGAACAUCCUUCAUGCCAGCCAUGCCAAGCAGCGCCGCAUCAAGCUCACUAGCUAUCUGAUUCCUCUCCGCCUUGAGAGUCUCAUAGGCUGUCCCCAUUUCACAAGUUUUCUGCCAGCCAACACCAAGAGACAAUCAGAAAAUUCAACAAUAAAAGUCUAAGUUCUUCAGACCCCUGCCGACGCAAGCAGUCGACAGCGGUCUCGAGGACUACACCCAGUGGGUUCACUAAGAGUGACCCCACUGGCAUGCAACUCAAGCAGGCCCGCCCUAUUGAGAUACAUGUUACCACCUACGCCUACGAGGCUAAUACUACCCGACCUGAGUACAAAUUACUCUCGGGGACUCUUACAGCAAGUGCACCCCAAGUGCCACAACUGUUCGCAGUCGGUCAUAUUAUUUACAGAUCUGACCAAAACAAAGACAAUAUGUAUAAAGACAACUGCCGGUGCAAGCACUCGACAGAAGUCUCGGGGACUACAGCCACUGGGUUCACUCAGAGUGAACCCCUUGCAAACAUCAUAUGCUACCCGAGAACACCCAGUGGGUUACAAGAGAAAAGUAAAGACUUACUAGCCCACUUACUCGGAUAUCAUCCCGCAGCUCCAAGCUCCGCUGGUACAAAGAUGCGACGGAGUCGUAUGCCUUCUUGGCUUCUCCCGCCAUCAGCUCCGCCUGCACCAUGGCUCCCUUGGCAGCUCCCACCUGCUCCUCCGGGAGACGCUGGAUGUUGAACUCGACAUUCGACGAGCCUGGCAUCAUUAGAAAUUCCUGGGGCAUCCCAAGGCCCGCUCCAGUCGGUUCUUCAGCCACCAGUGCCGGUUCAGUCGGCGGCAUCGCCUCAAUCGGCAGCACGUCUGCGGCGAGAGCAGUGACAGGCGGAGCAGCCUCAAGAACAGGCUCCGCAGCUUGUUCAGCUCUCCCCUGGUCACCCUCGUCCAUGCAAAUCGCCCCUGAUAGACCAAACGGCGUGAGAUCUCAGAAAAAGAAAGAGGCAAGACCUAAGAUAGAAUUCGCAACGCGAUAAUAUAAAACUCUCGGAGUCACUACAACGCACCUGGCUGGGACGAGACGACGUUGUCCAUGUCCAUGGGGUCAUCCUCCUAGCGUGCCGGAGAGGUGGCGGAGGUAGCAACUCUGUCUAGUGAAAUCCAUUCGACCAAUAAACAGGAGUUCAAUCGGAUAUCAGAAGAAAUUAGAAGAUUAUGGCACUUACGUGGAGGUGACGGGAACAGUAACCCUCAUCCGCGGCAAAGCCUUCCGAGGUUUAGACCCACUUGGUUUGGCCGCCUUGGAAGACUGACCCGCAGGCUCAGCAGCAACAUCCCUGGCCCUCUUGGUGCUCCGAGCACUCGGGACCACGGGGGCAGUGGGCGGAGCACUCGAGCACUCGGGACAUACUCUGCGCUCUCCACGCUGCCUUCCUCCUCCUCCUCGGCCGGGUUCCCGUUCGAGACGGGAGAAAACCAGUUGGUCCACUUCUGCAUAAAAUUCAGUCGGCGACAUCAGACGUCACACAGAGAUUCAAGCAAACGAUAAGAUUAAGACAGUUACGCGCACUCGACAAAUGUUACUCACCUGAUUCGGAGGAGGAUUAUCUGCGCAGAAAGGCUUCAAUCGCCGGGAUCCUUUGGGAUUCUCGCAGGGGCCUAUUAUCUCGAGCACCCACGAGGUCACCUUCUCCUCAGUCACUCCCACAACAAUGGUCCGAGUGGAAUCCUCGGGCCCCGUAUAAUGCAAAUGGCAUGGUCGCGAGCCUGCAGGGGUUGGAUGUGCCGACCGAGGAAGACCUCCAGCAAGUCUAUGCCAGUGACCCCCCUUCUGACGACAUCUACGAGUGCCUCGACCAGAGGCUGGAUGUCGUUUUUCUCAUCCUUCGUGAGCGCGAGCUGCUUAGGCGGAGCGGGCCGAUCUAAGCUAAAGGGAGGCAGCCCUGUCGCAGCAUUCGGAUAGGCAACGUCCUGGCAGUAGAACCACGUCGACUGCCAGUUUCUGACCGACUCACUUAGCUGAAGGGCAGGGUAACUACUCCGACUCUUUUUCUGGAAACCUAAGCCCCCACAGAGCUGGAGAAGAUGUGUCUUAUCAUCCGACUGGCUGAGUCGUUUGAUGGUUUGGGAUCUAGCAGAGAAUAUGUGCUUGAACAGCCCCCAAUGGGGAGGACAGCCAAUGAAACACUCGCACAGAACUAUGAAAGCAGAGAGAUGAGCAAUAGAGUUCGGGGGAAAGUGGUGAAGCUGUGCCCCGAAGUGAUUCAUAAUGCCCUUGAAUAAAGUAUGCGGGGGCAAGGAGAAACCUCGACAGACAUGGCUGAGCAACAGGACGCGCUCCCCCUCCCGGGGCGCCGGCUUGACCUCGUUCUCCGCCGGCAGCCUCCAAGACUUGUGCACGAUCAUCCCGUGCUCCACCAGCUGCAGCAGAUCCCCCUCCGUCACCGUGGAGGGGAGGAAGUCGCCUUGAAUCCACGCCGCCGGCAGCGGCCGCUGCCGCCGCUGAGCAGGAGCCACCGCCUUCCCCUUCUUAUUCCUCGCCUCCAUCUUGCUGGUCUGACCCUUGGUCAUGGCGGAAGGAAAGGGGAGGAAGGAGUGUAGAGGCGCUGGAGGUGGCGAGAAGGACGGAGAAAGCGAAGGCAAGAGAUUCGGCGAGCGUAACGAAAAACCCUCGCCGCCGAGUUUUGAGUAAGGUUCCGACUGGGACGCUGGCAGGUGGCCCCGAAACCUUAUCCCCCGACCAACCGCAGCGAUAUUAGUGGAGAGGUUGAAGGCGCGAGAAUCUAGGCGUCAGGCGCUACUCGAGCGCGAUGGCGUCAUCCCCGCUGAGCGCGCGGAAACCGAAAUUUUAGGAUCCCGGAAAAUCUGCCGCUAUCAGUUGACCGGUCACGUCAGAAGAUACCGCAGAAGCACUCGGUUUCCGACAGUUUGUUUCACAAGUACUUCCACUCGGAUCGUCGAUCGGAAAAGUUAAAAUGGACCGAGGCAAGCAACACCAAAGCCACGUCCGUGCGAGUCGGAUCCAAACCUCAAGCAUCACUUCGUCGUUCCAACCUCAAUCCAUUCGGGGACUAAUGAUGGGGUUAUAGUCCUAGGGUAGGGUCAUAAGCCUGCCUUAUAGGUCCUACCCAAGGACUACCCUUCAUAAGGGACAAGGCCCUUAGUCAGCUCCGACUGAACUAAGGAGUUGCCAUCAUCCAGUCGGUAACAGACCUCCGACCAUCCAGUCGAAGGCGAGCAUUCGGAACGUAUCGAACGGACCGAUUGGAUUCCACUCUGUACAUCGUAACCCCACAGGAGGGAAACGGUCGUACGUUUCCUCACGCUUUUAUUAGCAUUUAGGCCGUACGUUACCUGUAACGUAGGCAUUUAUUCACCAUUAUUCCACCCCUGUGCACCAACCGUUGUGAAGGGCAGCACAGUCUAUAUAAGCCACCCUUCCCCACUGGUGCAAGGGUUAGCAACUCAUUGUAUUCUAUAUUCCACUCGACAACAAGCUCCCAGAGCACUGAGACGUAGGGCUAUUACCUCCACCGCAGAGGGGCCUGAACUCAUACAACCUCGCCGUAGCUAAGGCUCUGCCCAUCCUUUUCGUACCCUACACAUCUACUGUCAGGCUUUUACCCACGACAACUAAGGAAAUGUUUCUCGUUUAUGGAGGUGACGAAGAGCUCAUCGUAAAGGGUUACGUCGACGCUAGCUUCGACACAGAUCCGGAUGACUCUAAGUCACAGACCGGAUACGUAUAUGUGUUGAAUGGUGGGGCAGUGAGCUUGUGUAGCAAUAAGCAAGAAGUCGUGGCAGCAUCUACAUGUGAGUCGGAGUACAUAGCUGCUUCAGAAGCAACUCAUGAAGGAAUUGGGAUGAAGGAGCUCAUCACCGACCUUGGAGUGGUUCCAAGCGUGUCGGGUCCAAUGACACUCUUCUGUGAUAACACUGGGGCCAUUGCCAUAGCCAAGGAGCCCAGGUUUCACCGAAAGACGAACCACAUCAAACGCCGCUACAACUCCAUCCAGGACCAUGUCCAGAGUGGAGUGAUAGAUAUUUGUAAAGUACACAUGGAUCUGAAUAUUGCAGACCCGUUGACUAAACCUCUUCCACGAGAAAAACAUGAUCAACACCAUAAUGCUAUGGGUGUUCGAUACAUCACAAUGUAACUAGAUUAUUGACUCUAGUGCAAGUGGGAGACUGUUGGAAAUAUACCCUAGAGGCAAUAAUAAAAUGGUUAUCAUCAUAUUUCCUUGUUCAUGAUAAUCGUCUAUUGUUCAUGCCAUAAUUGUAUUAACAGGAAACAGUAAUACAUGUGUGAAUAAAUAGAUCACGAUGUGUCCCUAGCAAGCCUCUAGUUGGCUAGCUCGUUAGUCAAUAGAUGAUCAUGGUUUCCUGAUCAUGGGCAUUAGAUGUCAUUGAUAACGGGAUCACAUCAUUGGGAGAAUGAUGUGAUGGACAAGACCCAAUCCUAUGCAUAGCACUAGAUCGUAUUGUUCGUAUGCUAAAGCUUUUCUAAUGUCAAGUAUAUUUUCCUUCGACCGUGAGAUUGUGCAACUCCCGGAUACCGUAGGAGUGCUUUGGGUGUAUCAAACAUCACAACGUAACUGGGUGACUAUAAAGGUGCACUACGGGUUCCUCCGAAAGUGUCUGUUGGGUUGGUACGAAUCAAGAUCGGGAUUUGUCACUCCGUGUAACGGAGAGGUAUCUCUGGGCCCACUCGGUAGAACAUCACCAUGAGCUCCAUGUGACUAAGGAGUUAGUCACACGAUGACGUGCUACGGAACGAGUAAACAGACUUACCGGUAACGAGAUUGAACAAGGUAUAGGUAUACCGACGAUCGAAUCUCGGGCAAGUUCUAUACCGACAGACAAAGGGAAUCGUAUACGGGAUUGAUUGAAUCCUUGACAUCGUGGUUCAUCCGAUGAGAUCAUCGUGAAGCAUGUGGGAGCCACCAUGGGUAUCCAGACCCCGCUGAUGGUUAUUGUCCGGAGAGGCGUCUCGGUCAUGUCUGCCUUAUCUCCCGAACCCGUAGGGUCUACACACUUAAGGUUCGAUGACUCUAGGGUUAUAGGGAAUUGUUAUACGAGGUUACCGAAAGUUGUUCGGAGGCCCGGAUGAGAUCCUGGACGUCACGAGGAGCUCUGGAAUGGUCUGGAGGUAAAGAUUGAUAUAUUGGACGGAUGGUUUCGGAUACCGGAAGUGUUUCGGGCAUCACCGAUAACGUACCGGGACCACGGGGACCACCGGAGGUGGCCCCGGGGGUCCACCGAAGGGGGCAACGACCCCGGGAGGUAAGGUGGGCCAAGUGGGGAAGGGAACCAGCCCCUAGGUGGGCUGGUGCGCCUCCCCACUCAGACCAAUGCGUGGGGGCGAGAAAAGGGGGGCAAACCCUAAGCCAGGUGGACCUAAGGCCCACCAGGGGUGCGCCACACCCCUCCUCCCCCCCUUGGCCGCCGCACCAGCCCCCAUCCUGGGCUGCCGCCCCCCAGGAGAGGGAAACCCUCAAGGGGGCGCAGCCCCUCCCUCCCCCUAUAUAUAGUGGGCACUUUUGGCCAUCAGAGAUGAGACUUUUGCCUCUCUCUCGGUGCAGCCCUGCCCUUCUUCCUCCUCCUCUCUGGCGGUGCUUGGCGAAGCCCUGCCGGGAGACCUCGUCUCUCCAUCGACACCACGCCGUCGUGCUGCUGGAGUUCUUCCCCAACCUCUCCCUCCUCCUGGCUGGAUCAAGGUGCAGGAGACGUCACCGGGCUGCACGUGUGUUGAACGCGGAGGUGCUGUAGUUCGGCACUAGAUCAGAAUCGCUGCGAGUACGACUCCAUCAACCGCGCUCUAGCAAUGCUUCCGCUUAGCGAUCUUCAAAGGUAUGAAGAUGCUCUUACCCCUCUCUCGUUGCUGGUCUCUCCAUAGGAAGAUCUGAAUAUGCGUAGGAAAAUUUUGAAUUUAUGCUACGUUCCCCAACAUUUUUUCGUGAUAGUUGUAUAUACAUCAGUUUUCUUCAACAUUUAGUAUUUGUUGCAUGUCUUUUUCCGAGAAGUGUUCAUGAAGCCGAUGAACACUCCAUCCACCAGGUUCAUUCAAGAUGUUCGGUACUCGGCUGAACUGACAAUUUUUCUUUUCGUGGUGAUCAAACCAUGCCACAUGCGGAUCAAAGAACUAUCAGCGUUCAAAAUAUGAACAUAUACAUAAAUUGACAAAGAAAAUACUUUGAACAAAAAAAUCAUUAAAAUUCUAUGAACAAAAUUACAACAGAAAAAAAUCAUAAAAGUUCUAUGAACAGAAAAAUCAUAAAAAAUUGACAUAUUCGAUCUUUGCAUAUAUAUGAACAUACAAACAUGCAUAUUCAACAAUAAUAUCACCAAAAAAAUCUUUUAACAGAAAAAAAUCUUUGCUCACGGCGACGGCGACGGCGACGCGGGGCGGNNNNNNNNNNNNNNNNNNNNNNNNNNNNNNNNNNNNNNNNNNNNNNNNNNNNNNNNNNNNNNNNNNNNNNNNNNNNNNNNNNNNNNNNNNNNNNNNNNNNCACACAAAGCAUUCCUCCGGUGUCGGUGAGUUAUAUGAUCUCAUGGUCAUAGGAAUAAAUACUUGACACGAAGAAAACAGUAGCAACAAAAUGACACGAUCAACAUGCUACGUCUAUUAGUUUGGGUCUAGUCCAUCACGUGAUUCUCCUAAUGACGUGAUCCAGUUAUCAAGCAACAACACUUUGUUCAUAAUCAAAAGACAUGGACUAUCUUUGAUCAACUGGCUAGCCAACUAGAGGCUUGCUAGGGACGGUGUUUUGUCUAUGUAUCCACACAUGUAAAUGAGUCUUCAUUCAAUACAAUUAUAGCAUGGAUAAUAAACGAUUAUCUUGAUACAGGAAUUAUAAUAAUAACUAUAUUUAUUAUUGCCUCUAGGGCAUAAUUCCAAGAGUCUCCCACUUGCACUAGAGUCAAUAAUCUAGCCCUCACAUCAUCAUGUGAAUUACAUUGUAAUAAAUCUAACACCCAUACAGUUCUGGUGUUGAUCAUGCUUUGGCCGUGGAAGAGGUUUAGUCAGCGGNNNNNNNNNNNNNNNNNNNNNNNNNNNNNNNNNNNNNNNNNNNNNNNNNNNNNNNNNNNNNNNNNNNNNNNNNNNNNNNNNNNNNNNNNNNNNNNNNNNNUUCUUCUCUCUCUUGGAUCUUCAAUACAAACUUCUCCAUGAUCUUCAUGGAGAUCUAUCCGAUGGUAAUCUUCUUUGGCGGUGUGUUUGUCGAGAUCCGAUGAAUUGUGGAUUUGUGAUCGGAUUAUCUAUGAUAUAUAUUUGAGUCUUUGUUGAUAUCUUAUAUGCAUGAUUUGAUAUCCUUGUAAGUCUCUCCGAGUCUUGGGUUUUGUUUGGCCAACUAGAUCUAUGAUUCUUGCAAUGGGAGAAGUGCUUGGUUUUGGGUUCUACCAUGUGGUGACCUUUCCCAGUGACAGUAGGGGCAGCAAGGCACACAUCAAGUAGUUGCCAUCAAGGGUAAAAAGAUGGGGGUUUUAUCAUUGGCUUGAGAUUACCCCUCUACAUCAUGUCAUCUUGCUUAAGGCGUUACUCUGUUCUUAUGGACUUAAUACACUAGAUGCACGCUGGAUAGCGGUCGACGUGUGGAGUAAUAGUAGUAGAUGCAGAAAGUAUUGGUCUACUUGUUUCGGACGUGAUGCCUAUAGAAACAAUCAUUGCAUAGAUAUGGUCACGACUUUGCGCGGUUCUAUCAAUUGCUCGAGAGUAAUUUGUUCACCGAUCAUCUACUUGCUUUCAUGAGAGAAGCCACUAGUAAACACUACGGCCCCCGGGUCUAUUCACAUCCAUCGUUUACACCUCCGCUUUUACUUUGCUUUGUUACUUUGUUGCUUUCAGUUCUCACUUGGCAAACAAUCUAUAAGGGAUUGACAACCCCUUGAUAGCGUUGGGAGCUAGUUUUUGUGUUUUUGCAGGAUCUUGAGAUACUCCUCCACUGGAUUGAUACCUUGGUUCUCAAACUGAGGGAAGUACUUACCACUGCUACGCUACAUCACCCUUUCCGCUUCGAGGGAACACCAACGCAAGGCUCCAAGGCCACGGGGGAAAUACUUUGCAUACUUCCCUAGGAAGUACCUUAAGGCGUAGCCGUAGCUGAAGGAUUCCUGGUGCCGUAGCUGAGGAGUAUCAAGCAACAUUCCUAUUUCUCGCGCCGUUGGAAGGUCUUUUGUUGUAGUAGCAUACUCUGCCUUGGUACUCACGUCCCGUGCAUAUCUUCUGUUCCGGGAAAAAUCUUUUCGGAAGUUUAUUCCGUUUGGACUCCGUUUAAUAUUCUCCUCUUAAAAGGGUCAAAAACACGGAAAAAUAGGAACAGGCACUUGGCACUGAGUUAAUAAGUUACUCCCAAAAAAGAUAUAAAAGGCAUACAAAACAUCCAAAGUUUGACAAGAUAAUAGCAUGGAACCAUCAAAAAUUAUAGAUACGUUGGAGACGUAUCAACCUCUAUGGCAUCAUCCUCGGCAAUAUCCAGAAUAACAAAGUCUGUUAAGAUAGUAACGUUAGCAACCACAACAGACACAUCCUCGCAAAUGCCGAUAGGGAAAGAAGUUGAUUUUGUGGGCCAUUUGCAAUGAGAUUUCACUGGGUGUCAACUUAUCCAAUCCAAGUAUACGAUAAAGAGACAGAGGUAUAACACUAACACCUCCUGCAAGAUCGCAUAAAGCGGUUCUAACAUAAUUGCCUUUAAUGGAGCAAGGUAUAGUGGGCAGUCCGGGAUCACCUAGUUUCUUAGGAGUCCCACCCUUGAAGGUGUAAUUAGCGAGCAUGGUGGAAAUCUCAACCUCAGGUAUCCUCCUCUUAUUAGUCACAAUAUCCUUCAUGUACUUAGCAUAAGGAGACAUUUUGAGCAUAUCUACCAAAUGCAUUUGCAGAAAGAUAGGUCUAAUCAUUUUAACAAAUCGCUCAAAAUCCUCAUCAUCCUUUUUCUUGUCUGGUUUGGGAGGAAAGGGCAUGGGUUUCUGAACCCAUGGUUCUCUUUCUUUACCAUGCUUCCUAGCAAUGAAAUCGUUCUUAUCGUAUCUCCUAUUCUGAGGAUGUGGGUUAUCAAGAUCAACUGGUUCAAUCUCCACAUCCUUAUCAUUGCUAGGUUGAGCAUCAUCAUGAACACCACUAUCGAUAUUAUCAUUAGGCUCAUGUUCAUCACCAGAUUGUGUUUUGGCAUCAGAAACAGAGACAUCGUUUGGAUUCUCGGGUGUAACAGCAGCAGGUUUGCUAGCAUCUUUCUUUUUCUUCCUAGGAUGACUAGGUGCCUCGGUGCUUACUCCUUGAGAAUCUUGCUCAAUUCUCUUAGGAUGACCCUCAGGAUACAAAGGUUACUGCGUCAUUCUACCACCUCUAGUGACGACUCUAACAGAAUUGUCAUUCAACUCAUUGAGCAAGUCAUUUUGAGCCUUAAGUACUUGUUCUACCUGAGUAGUGACCAUAGAGGCAUGUUUACUCAAAAGCUUAAGAUCAUUGCCAUUUCUAUCAACAGAAGCACUUAAAUGACUAAGCAUACGAGCAUUUUGUUCCAAUUGUCUGCUAACCUAAUCAUUGAGACUUUGUUGUUUGACAACAAAGUUAUCAAAUUCAUCUAGGCAUAAGCUAUCAGGUUUAUCAAAAGGAAUAUCACCCUCAUUGAAUCUACGAAGAGAAUUUACCUAUACUACCUUUGUCGGGUUACCAAUACCAUGGAUCUGUUCGAUAGGUGGUAGAUUCUUGACAUCUUCAGAUUUAAUGCCUUUCUCUUGCAUAGAUUUCUUAGCUUCUUGCAUAACUUCAGGACUGCCGAAUAGGAUACCUCUUUUCUUCGGAGUUGGCUUCGGAGGUGGUUCGGGAAUAGUCCAAGCAUUCUCGUUGCACAAGAUAUUAUUCAAUAGAAUCUCAGCUUGUUCCACAGUUCGUUCCAUGAAAACACAACUGGCACAACUAUCUAGGUGGUCCCUAGAAGCAUCGGUUAGUCCACUAUAGAAGAUAUCAAGUAUUUCAUUUUUCUCAAGAGGGUGAUCAGGCAAAGCAUUCAGCAGCUGGACAAGCCUCCUCAAGCUUGUGGGAGACUCUCUUCUUCGCUUGCACAAAGUUAUAUAUUUCCUGCAAGGCAGCUUGUUUCUUAUGGACAGGAAAAUAUUUCUCAGAGAAGUAGUGGAUCAUAUCCUGGGGACUACGCACACAAGCAGGAUCAAGAGAAGUGAACCAAGUCUUAGCAUCAUCCUUUAGCGAGAAAGUAAACAACUUAAGGAUAUAGUAGUGGCGUAUCAUUUCCUCACUCGUGAAUAGGGUGGCUAUAUCGUGCAACUUAGUAAGAUGUGCUACAAUUGUUUCAGACUCAUAACCAUGAAAAGGAUCAGAUUCGACCAAAGUGAUUAACUCAGGAUCGACAGAGAAUUCAUAAUCCUUAUCAGUCACAAAGAUGGACGAAGUAGCAAACUUAGGGUCGUAUUUCAUCCUAGCGUUCAGAGAUUCUUCCUUCCACUUACGCAGUAAUUUCUCAAGAUCAUAGAUAUCCUUACAAGAAAGAAAGUCCGCAGGUACCUCUCCCUCCAUAACAUAACCCUCAGGUAUAUCAGGCAAUUCAUAUCUAGGAGAGCUAGUUCUAACAGGUGAAAUAGCAGGUUCUACUUCAAUAAUUUUAGCAGUCUCAGAAGUAACAUCACAUUCAGCAGCAACUCUAGCAAUUUGUGCAUUAAGGAAUGCACCUAGUGGCAAAGCAGUAUCAAGCAAAGCAUCAUCACAAGCAUCAUGGAUAGCAGAAGUAGCAUCAUCAAGCACACACGACAUAUCAGAAUUUCUAGCAGGUAGUGGUGUCACAAACUUACUCAUAACUGAAGGUGAAUCAAGUGCAGAUCUAGAUGGCAGUUCCUUACCUGUCCUCGUAGUUGAGGGCAAUACUUUAGCUUCUGGAUCUCUCGGAUUCCUCAUAGUGAUCAACAGCAAUAGUAGUGACAACAGUAGCGGUAACAAUAGCAGCAGUCACAGCAGGAGCGGCAAAGUAACGUAGCAAGGACCAGUAGGAAAAACUCGUAGGCAUUGGAUCGUUGAUGGAUAAUUAUGCCGGAUGACAUUCAUCAUGCAACAGUUAUAACAUGGAGAGAUAGGUAACUAGCUCUAGUUCGUCAAUGUAAUGUAGGCAUGCAUUCCGUAUGUAGUCAUACGUGCUUAAGGAAAAGAACUUGCAUGACAUCUAUUGUCCAUCCCUCCCAUGGCAGCGGGGUCCUAAUGGAAACUAAGGGAUAUUAAGGUUCUCCUUUUAAUAGAGAACCGAAACAAAACAUUAGCACUUAGUGAAUACAUGAACUCCUCAUACUAUGCUCAUCUCCGGGAGUGGUUCCGGCUAUUGUCACUCCNNNNNNNNNNNNNNNNNNNNNNNNNNNNNNNNNNNNNNNNNNNNNNNNNNNNNNNNNNNNNNNNNNNNNNNNNNNNNNNNNNNNNNNNNNNNNNNNNNNNNNNNNNNNNNNNNNNNNNNNNNNNNNNNNNNNNNNNNNNNNNNNNNNNNNNNNNNNNNNNNNNNNNNNNNNNNNNNNNNNNNNNNNNNNNNNNNNNNNNNNNNNNNNNNNNNNNNNNNNGGUUCAGAUCUGAAAUCAUGGCACUCGGGCCCUAGUGACAAGCAUUAAGCAUGGCAAAGUAGUAGCAACAUCAAUCUUAGAACAUAGUGGAUACUAGGGAUCAAUCCCCGUCAAAACUAACUCGAUUACAUGAUAGAUCUCAUCUAACCCAUCACCGUCCAGCAAGCCUACGAUGAGAUUACUCAUGAACGAUGAAGAGCAUCAUGGAAUUGGCGAUGAAGGAAGGUUGGUGAUGACGAUGGCGACGAUCUCCCCUCUCCGGAGCCCAGAACGGACUCCAGAUCCACCCUCCAGAGGAAGAACAGGUGGUGGCGCCGCCUCCGUAUCGUAAAAGACGAUAAACUCUCCUCCUUGAUUUUUUCUGGGCGAGAGGGACUAAAUAGAGUUGGAGCCUUGAGGGCCCCACAAGCCUGCUAGGCGUGGCCAGGGGGGCCCGCGCCUCCUGGUCUUGUGGGCUCCUCGCUCCACGCCUCCGGUUGAUUCUUGCGUGAGUAUUUUUUAUAUAUUCCACAAAAAUUCCUCGUAAAUUUUCAGGUCAUUCCGAGAACUUUUAUUUUUGCGCAAAAACAACGCCAUGGCAAUUCUGCUAAAAACAGCUUAGUUCGGGUUAGUUCCACUCAAAUCAUGCAUAUUAGAGUCCAAAACAAGGGCAAUAGAGUUUGGAAAAGUAGAUACGAUGGAGAUGCAUCAGAGGGUUAAUUUAGUGGUUCCAUAUUGUGUUAGCUAGCUAAUAGAGAGAAGUGUCCUCUCUUUCUCCGUGCUUGGUCGAACAACAAGUUUUCGUAUGUCUAUCCGACGCUAUUACAUAUAUACAAUAUAACAUCUUUUACAAUUAAUCCUAAAUAUCAUCUAAUUAAGAUCCAAUUACAUAUCCACAUGGCAUUCUCUGUCUUUAGGUAUGACGUGGUCAAGAAUGAAUCCCGCCAAUUCCUCUUGAAUUGCUCGUAUGCGAUCAUAUGGUAGGAGUUCAUCCCGCAUCUGCGAGAUCUAAUUUAAAGAAGGGGGUCAAUACAUGCAUAUAUAUGAAUAAAACUCAAGACAAUUGUGAAUAUUAUUCACAUACUUGCAAUUGUUUCUCAGAGAAGACCCACUUAGAGGUCGAGUGGCGAAUGAACUCGCAUACGUAGUAUGGACAUAAAACAAUGCCUUCUUUCUCGUACAUACACUUUACGAGAAUUGAGUUCAAUCAAACUGAUAAGUAAGCAUGGUAAUGAUAUAUUGAUGAAAAUUUGAAUCAAUUAGAGAUGCGCGGAACUAGCUAGUACUACUUACUUUGGGGUGCGUAAACCGCAACUCUUUGUUUAUACCGGGAACCUUAUUGACGAACUUCGGCCAAACCCUACCAAGCAAAGAAAAUGUUUACUUGAUAUGAGGAAAUUAACGAAAGUUGCAUGCCAAUAUGGUCUCGGUAUAUUGACUGAACUUACUUCUUGAGCAUUCCAGUAAUGUCCUCAUAAUCCUCUUCAGCUUUACGUCUUGAGGCUAAGACAGGUGAAAAUGUCUGAAUCUGUAAAUUUGACUGUUUAUUAUGGCCCUGGUAAUGUUCUGUAUAAUGAGUUGGGGGAUGAUCUUAGCGAGUUUAAAAAAGGCAUGCUGACACUUUCAGACCUGGACAGACUGGACAUUAGGCAGUUGAAGCAUUGGUUGACUACUAGUUUUGGGCUGGAUCCCGAAGUCUGUUCCGUCAGUAUUCACGCAUUUCGGACCAAAUUCUGUAAAAAUGUUAAGUGGGAGUUGAUGCCGAUAGAUAGGAGCCAACAUUGGUUGUCCAUGUUAAGUCGUUCCAAGGACCAAAGAAUCCACCCAUAUGUCCUAGUCCAACCAGUCGCGAAUGAGGAGAAUUUCAUACAAGUCUACGUGGGGUAUGAACCAGCACAGGGUAGUCAUGUAGCCGGGUCACAGCCACCGGAUAUGGAUGCUAGCCAAGCAGAGAAAGAGUCAUAUUAUGUGCCACACAAUGAGACUGGACAGAGUAUUCAGUCGAUACUAUUAGCUGGCUCCGGUGUUGCUGAUGGGGAUGAGGAAGGCGAUGAAAUGCAGAGGGUGAUGGAGGAAGAGAACGAGGAUGGGUUUGCGGAGGAUCUGUAUUCUAAAAAUUCCGAGGAUGAAGUGGAGGUACCGAUUCCUUCCAUAUGGGAUAAGGACAUACCCGAUGGCAUUAGUGUCAACGAUGGCCAUGAGACUCCAUGGCAAUAUAAUAUGAACCAAGUCCAGAUCGGGGAUAUGUUUGACACAAAUAAAAAAUUGAAGUAUGCGGUGAUAAAAUGGGCUAUGUCUACGCAGAGGGUUUUCCGGACACACAUAUCGACUCCAACAAAAUAUACCAUGAAUUGUGUUGAAACAGGUUGUCCUGCGAAGGUGCACGGGCACGUGCCGAAGUAUAACAUCCACUGGGUUGUCACCAAUGUGGUCCCACAUAAUUUUGUGAGCAAAAAUCUGUUGGUUCGUCAUCCAACCCUGAGUUCAACUCUCAUAGCGCAACUCAUGUAUACUGAGAUAGUUGAGAAGAAAGAAAUGGAAGCAAAACAUAUCCAGAAAGGAGUGAAGUCAGAUGGAAUUAUGACAUUCCAUAUGGGAAGACUUGGACGGCUAAGCAGAAGGCUAUGGAGGAAAGGUUUGGGACGUUCUUCGACUCAUAUGAUAAUGUUGUCCGUCUCCUUGACAUACUGAAAGAGAGGAAUCCCGACACUUAUGUUAACAUACAACACACGAGGUAGGAGACUAUACCAGAUUACAAGGUGUUGAAACGAGUAUUCUUCUUAUUUGGUUUGUGCAUCGAAGCUUUCCGACAUUGUCCUUCUGUGAUGUUCGUGGAUGGUACAUUCCUGACUGGUCAGUAAAAAGGGCAAAUCCUUACUGCUAUUGGUGUGGACGGGAACAACCAAAUCAUCCUACUAGCCAUGGUAUUUGUGGAGGGCGACAACUUUCUGAGCUGGGUAUGGUUGUUCCGACAAGUUAAAAUUGCAACCGUGAAGGACCGACCAAACGUGUGUGUCAUUCAUGAGAGACAUCCUCGUAUAGUAGAGAUCGUGAAGACACUAAGUAAUCCAACAGCCGAUGAGCCAACACCUUGGAAGGACUUGCAAAGCCGGUGGUGCAUGCGCCAUCUGGGUGCAAAUUUUUUCUCACAGUUCAAGAACAAACGGUUGAUGAACAUGUUCAAAAAGUUAUGCAAGCAAAACCAGCAGCGCAAAUAGGAAUUUAUUUGGUCAAAUCUACCGGAGCAUACGGGAACGAUUGUUGAAUUUACCCUUGAAACAUGCAAAGAAACGACGAACGACCACCACCACCUUUACCCACACCUCCACCUCCACCACCGCCACCACCACUUGUGCCUCCUUUUUCACUCCAUUUCACCUUCUUCUUCCUCUCCACCACACCACCUCCUCACCAUCCACACCUCCACCACCCCACCAUCAUGGCACAAAAUGAGACCGUAGACCGGUCGAGAUGGGUACGAUGUGUUGAUUCAGCGGAUUGAAUAAGAAAAUGGGCGGAGGAUGGAGGAGAUUGGAGGGGGGCAAAAUGGGGGAACAAAAAUGAGAGAGAGAAGAGAAACCAGGAAAUGAGGAGGAAGGAAGAGGAAGAAGGCUCGAUAGUGGUUAUCCAGGGGCUUUUCGGCCUCCUGGAGGCCGACGGCCUCUCUUCGGCCACCCCCAGGCCGACAGGUGGCUCUUCGGCCACCGGCAUGCCGACAGGCCCGCAUCGGCCAUCCAGAGGCCGACCGGUCCCCCAUCGGCCACCCACAGGCCAACGGGGUGCUACUUUUGACAUUUUUCAAAACGCAUACAUGCUUUUCAGAUUUAUUAUAAAUCACGUACUAGUUUCGAAAAAAAGUCUAGCCAGAGACUAAAGGUUCCUCAUAUAUAAGAAAUCACAAUCCAAGCAUUUAAAAAAUGUUAAAUUUGCAUAGAAUUUGUUUGUGAGAAGAAUUUAUGUGCAUACUACGUUUGCGAGAACAUUCGCAUGAUGACGUCCGAAAGGUCCAAAAAUGUUAGACAACUUUGGGUAGGUUUGUCAGAACACUAUUCACAAUUCUUUUUAUUAUGAUUUAAUGUAUAUACACACAACUAAUAUAUUCAUAUUGAUCUUCUUUUUUAAUAAUGAUGAAAGGCAUGUGGGAUCGGUUCCUACCAACGGAUCGCAUACAAGCAAUUCAAGAGUAAAUAGCGAGAUUUUUGCUCGACGAGGUUAUAGAUCCCAAAAGGAUAAUACCAUUACAAGUUGUUUAUUUUUGCUCGAAUAGGAAGACUAUUCUUGACUUAAAAUAAUUCAUUCAUAUGUUAUAUGUUUAUUUGAUCAUAAGUUCUUUUUUUCUUCUUGCUACACUUGUUAUGGAAUCAUUCAUUCACUUAAUGUUGCUCUACACAUUGUGUAGUCCAUAUGUACAGUCGUGACAUACCAUGAGAUGGAGGGGCGGCUAUUUACGUACAUAUACUGUUGGAUGAAGCUGAAGGCGGAGUAUGUGUGAGAUGACAUGCUCCAGUGAUGAAAAACUUGUUAGACAUCCGAUUAAUCUAGUCGGAUUUAAGACAUUGUUAUACUAGACUUAAUUUCUAUAUUAUGUAUGGAUGAUUUGUGUUAUUUUCUAUCUAAAUUUUGUUAAAAAUUGACAUGUUUGCAUGAAUUUUGCCGGUUAGUUUGGAUGGUGUUUGAAAUGUAUGCGGUUAGCGUUGGAUAAUGACUUUCCGCAUCUGUUUCUACGGAUUGAUCCUACCGUUCACAGAAGGAUGCGGGACGAAAUUUAUGGAUCGCCGUUCAACAUGCCUUGAGCCCUCUUACGACAGAACACUAUGGACCUGUUUGAACUGCUUCACUCCAUGGAAUUCAACCCCGUUUUAGAAAACGUAAGUCAAACGGGGUAGCUCCAUGAUAUAUCGCUCCACAAAAAAACUAAAAUCUGUGAUACUACUCCUUGUUUUUUCUCAAGCUCUCGAGAGGUGCUCCAUAAAAUUAUAGAAGCUGGAGUUGAAAGGAAAUUACACAUCACUACCACCAGUAAGUGAAUACCCCUUCUUUUCUUCCCUCUCAUCCAAUCAAAUAGAUCCUUUUCAUCAAAAUUUCCAUAUUUGAAGCUGAAGCUGGAUGAAAGACAAACAUUCUUUUGAAAGAGCUGCAACUUCUGUAUGAAACUGCUCCAAAAUAAAUUUGGUAGAGCGGAACUGAUUUUGAUGAAGUAAAGCAGUCCCAAACAUGCUCUAUGUAUGUAGCUUGCUCCAUGUCAUGUUGGAUUGGCGGCCACUACUGCUGUGUGGAUCUUUCUACAUUGGUGGAUAAGUUAAGCGGUCACUCCUUGAAGAUUGUUUUAAAGUAGCAAAUGCUCAGUGAUGCUCUUAGUGGGUUCUUGUUUGCUAACUUUGUCAUUAUUCCAGAGUUUUGAUUUUCCUUCAAAAUAGUUGUUAUAAAAGUACCAAUGCAGGAGUAGGGUGUUUUGCAGCUCGGCCUACGAGCAGGCCAUUUUUUUCAAAAAUAUUCAAAUUUCAAACAUUUCAGUUUUGAAAAAAAAGUACAAGUAUACAUUGAUGUGUAUGGCUAUGUCUGAAAAAAAAUCAUGGACUUUAACGAUGAAUUAUGCAUCUACUAAAUGGCAACAUUUUUAAGAACUUAUUUUAAUAUAUGUGUCAUCUUAAAAAUUUACACACAUGUACAUUAUUUCUCUAAGUAUAUGUAUAUUUUAUUUUAAUAAAACAUGCAAAUAUGGAUUUCAAUAUUUUCUUUUCUUUUUCUUUUUUUAAUUUAGUCAUUUAAAUGUGCAAUAAUGAUGUCACAUCUAAAUAUAUCCUAGACACCUCCUUUUAAAUUGGCCUCGAUGAAGACCGAGCUCCAUUAAGAAUUUUCGCCAAGCCAGCUCAUAUGUCCAUAUUAAACCAGCUAUUGCGUGCCCCACUUGGCAACUAGGCAUAACAUUUUUGUAACUUCCACAAGUACCAAUCCCCAUCAUCUAACAGAUGCCCAAGUAGGCAACAGGGCACAUAGAAACAUGGGCAUAUAGAAACUAUGCAGUAUAAAAACAAAACAUGGAUAUAUUUAUUAGCCCCAAGUUGGCAGCAGGGCAUAUACCAACACGGCAACAGUAAAGAAUUGCUGGCCGGCCACGGAUAAUAAAUAAUCCAUUUAUGAUGUCUCUUACUAACAACGUCAGAGAUAGGCCCACACUACUCCCUCCGUCCCAGUUAUAAAUCAUAUUACAAUUAUCUAAACGUCCUGCAUUAGUUUUUAAUUGUUUCUUAUUUUUUGACAUGAAUAAAGGAGUUAACUAAUAAGAGACGUUGGACGUAUAUGUUUUUAUUGACUUGAGGUUAACUAGCAUGACAUUCAGUGAUCAAUUCGUGCAUAAUAUUAAUAAGUAAAUUAACAUUGAUUUUUUUUCUUUUCGUCUUGUUCAUGGUGCACAAGCAAUAAUGACUUAUACACUGAGACGAAUGGAGUAGGAGGUUUUUCUUGGGACGGAGGGGCUUCUUCGACAGGUUUCGUAGACCGUUUCUGUUCACGCGGACUUUGUGGUCUAUGGUCACAGCGAUUAAGAAUAUCUCAAAUCGCUCGAGAGCACUAGUGCGGACGGGGCCUUUAGCCCCGGCCCGUAAGGGGCUUUAGUCCCGGUUCACCAACCGGGACUAAAGGGGCGGGACUAAAGGCCUAACCUUUAGUCCCGGUCCUGUUCCAAGCCGGGACUAAAAGUGCUCCACGUGGACGCCUCGUAGCGCCCCAGGGGCAGGCCCUUUAGUCCCGGUUCGUUACACAGACCGGGACUAAAGAGUUUCAGGUUUUACUUAUUUUUGGUUUUUUUUUGAAUGAAAUUAUUUUUGGGUUUUAGGGUUUAGGUGUUCGGGAGAUUAACGUGAUGCCUCGUUUGGUGUUCGGGAAUUAGUUUUCAUAUAAUUUAAAUAGAAAUAAUUAUGCAUAUAUAUAUAAGAUUAACUUAUCUUACAAGCGAGCAUAUAUAUACAAUUAUAUGCAGAUCUGAAUUAUCUGGACUAGAGCCCGUCUAUUCGAUUACAUGGACGAACAUGAGUAAUGGUCCCUAGCUACACUAAAUUCUCCUUUGUCAUCUAUAGCUUCCAUCCUCACAAAGGUCGCAAGCUCCUCUGCAACAGCAAUCGUGCGUUGCUCUGGUAGGACCUUCGUCCUCAUGGUCGUGUACUAUAUAAGAAGAGGAGAUGAAUAUGAAUAUCAAUCAUG